CUCUCCCGAGCGGCACGUGGACCGGCCGGUGCUGUUACGGGGAGCGGGGGUGGGGGGGGGCUCCUCCCGAGGGUCGGGAGAUGCAGCAGUUCAGCAUGGGGGGGUCCCUGAGGACACCGACGGGGCGCCGUCGGGCUGUUUACAUUUGUCGUUUGUCUCCGUCUGGAGCGGGACAAGCAUCCUCCGACCCCUCCCUGCACAUUGGAGCGGCGGGGAGCUCACCCCCUGCGGGGAGCGUCUGCCCGCUCAUCGGCUGGCGGCUCCCUGUGAAGCGGCCUUCCCUCUCCGUCGCCGCGUUCUUCCGGGACACCUGGUCUCCCGGGCAGUGUCGGGCCGGGCCGGGCUGCUGCCAAGGACGCCUGGCGAGGGUUAGGAAGGCCGUCAUGCCGCCGCGGCUUCUCUCUCCAGGCCGGGUGUCGCCUCUGUCCCCCUGGAACCCGGAGCUCCGCCCCCGGCUCAAGAGACUCGGCCCGGGGGGCUGCGCUGCAGGCCAGGCUGGCUGCCUGGGCGUCCCGGCGUCCCGGCCGCCUCUCGCCUCUGGGCCCCUCCGUGAUCCCCAGGCCGAAGAGCCGAGGGCCGGGCUCUGUGCCGGGCAGCCACCGGGGUCCGGCCGCCUCUGGGACGGCUCACCGCGAGGCUCUGUGUGGAACAAGGCGAGCCCUGCGGUUCUCUGCGGCUGCCCCCCCCCCACUGGUGCCUGGAAGCUCCGUGCCAUCCGCGUAAGCAUUUAUGAGGCGCCUACUGUGUGCGCGGCACCAGGAACUAAGAGCGGCGCUGCCUUCAGACAAGGGCUGCAUUCAGUGCCCACCCCUGGAGGAGAGCCCGACGGUGCAGAGCCAAAGGACCGGGGGAGAAGACGGCCCCCGUGGGGGCGCCGUGCCUCGGACCCCUCGGGGGCUGGGCUUGGGCCGCGGGUGCUUCCCCGGAGCCUUCCGUGGAGACCGAAGCAGCCCUGAGCAGAGCCGGCAGCCCUUCCCUCCUCGGGGGGUCUCCAGGCAGAGGAGGUGCGUCGGUGUGCGCUGCUCGGGCUCCCCGGGGGCUCACGCUCUUCGGGGGAGCCCCGUGCCGGCAGGGCGGCUUGCUUGUCCUCUGUGUGCCCCCAGCCCGGCCCGGAGCCUGGCUCCGCCCCGCGUGCCGGACGACGGGAGGCCAGAGCCGCGCUUGCCCCUUAGACAGGGCAGCCACCAGCCUUGUCUCCCCUUGGAGCGAGCGCACAGGCAGGAGUCCGAGCGGCGGCCGGGAUGCUGCUGAGGACAAAGUGAACGGGAGGGAGAG
rnacentral:lncRNA from 1 species